rnacentral:RNase_P_RNA from 1 species
CUGGGGGGCCGGAUGGCCGCUGGAGCAAUCCAGAGGAACUUCCGGGCACCAUAGGGCAGGAUGCCAGCUAACGGCUGGGCGCGGCAACGCGACGGAAAGUGCAACAGAGAAGAAACCGCCGAUGGGCCGAAAGGCCACAGGCAAGGGUGAAACGGCGGGGUAAGAGCCCACCGCUUUCCUGGCAACAGGGAAGGCAAGGCAAACCCCAUCCGGUGCAAGGCGAACAGUGGACGGCCCGCUACGGGCACAGGGGCGGCCCGCCUCCGGUUCCACGGGUAGCCGCUCGAGGCCGUCGGCGACGACGGUCCCAGAUGGAUGGCCAUCGGUUUCCCGUCAAACGGAAACGCCACAGAACCCGGGGUACAGGCCCCCCUUCGUG